rnacentral:sRNA from 1 species
GUACGGGGAAGGAUGAGAAGCUUCGACUAAGGUUCGAUUCGAGCGCAGCGAGAAAGCGUUGCCGCAGGCAACGACCCGAAGGGCGAAGCGCGCAGCGCUGAGUAAUCCUUCCCCCACCACCA